AGAGUUUGAUCAUGGCUCAGGAUGAACGCUAGCGGCAGGCCUAACACAUGCAAGUCGAGGGGUAGAAGAAGCUUGCUUUUUUGAGACCGGCGCACGGGUGAGUAACGCGUAUGCAACCUACCUUAUACAGGGGAAUAGCCCGAAGAAAUUCGGAUUAAUGCUCCAUGGUUUAUCGAUAUGGCAUCGUAUUGAUAAUAAAGAUUUAUCGGUAUAAGAUGGGCAUGCGUAUCAUUAGCUAGUUGGUGUGGUAACGGCAUACCAAGGCAACGAUGAUUAGGGGUCCUGAGAGGGAGAUCCCCCACACUGGUACUGAGACACGGACCAGACUCCUACGGGAGGCAGCAGUGAGGAAUAUUGGUCAAUGGAGGCAACUCUGAACCAGCCAUGCCGCGUGCAGGAUGACGGUCCUAUGGAUUGUAAACUGCUUUUGUACAGGAAGAAACCUCCCUACGAGUAGGGACUUGACGGUAAUGUAAGAAUAAGGAUCGG
rnacentral:rRNA from 1 species